AAGAGUCUUUCUCUCCUUAUCCCCCGAGCAUUUCGGUCCCUCGUGAUUCGACUUCUCUUUCUGUAGCUUAGUAUAGUAAGGUGAGCGCUGAAGCGCUGCACGAAUCUUUCUUAGAAAGAUUCAGCGACGAAGUUCUGCCCCUGCAGAGCCCGACUCCUAGCUAAAACCCCCUUGUAAGUUUCGUCGAAGGAAAAUAGAAUCGUUAGAAGCAAGCGCUGCCCGAUUUUGGAAUCAUCACCUUAACAAGUAGUGGCGCAUGAGCAUAGGUGUGAUGUUUUGGACGAGGGAUUACGGAUAUAGGCCUGUAGAUAUGAAAUAAUGUAGUAAGGCUUAUAUUGUACUGUUUAUGCUUUUGAUCUGUACGAACAUGACAUCCCGAGUCUUUUAAUGAAAUACAUUUCUAUGGAAAUGCUUUUGAUAAA